rnacentral:snRNA from 1 species
AGAGUUUUAAAAGGAUUUACAA